GAGUUGGGAACUCUAAGGAAACUGGCCUCGGUUAACGGGGAGGAAGUGGGGAUGACGUCAAGUCCUCAUGGCCUUUAUGUCCAGGGCUACACACGUGCUACAAUGGGCGGAACAAAGGGUUGCAAUACCGCAAGGUGGAGCUAAUCUCAAAAAAACCGCUCUCAGUUCAGAUUGGAGUCUGCAACUCGACUCCAUGAAGGCGGAAUCGCUAGUAAUCGCGGAUCAGCAUGCCCGCGGUCCGAAUACGUUCCGGGCCUU
rnacentral:rRNA from 1 species